UACGAAGGGGGCUAGCGUUGUUCGGAAUUACUGGGCGUAAAGCGCACGUAGGCGGAUCGAUCAGUCAGGGGUGAAAUCCCAGGGCUCAACCCUGGAACUGCCUUUGAUACUGUCGAUCUGGAGUAUGGAAGAGGUGAGUGGAAUUCCGAGUGUAGAGGUGAAAUUCGUAGAUAUUCGGAGGAACACCAGUGGCGAAGGCGGCUCUCUGGACCGAUACUGACGCUGAGGCGCGAAAGCGUGGGGAGCAAACAGG
rnacentral:rRNA from 1 species